CUCGUUGCCCUUUGCAAUUUUCAAUUAGUACUAGCUGCUUUGCAAUGAAGUGCUCAACCAGCAUGUGGAACUAAUGGUAUUGGGCAACACAGCUCUUUAUAGUAUUACACUGUAUGGACUAAUUUAUGGAUCCAUUCUCUCUUCACGGAGGUUUGGUUUCUUUCCUUAGAUCUGGGUUGUUAAAAUGAUGUUACUCACAGGGACCAUGUGCAAGACUUUCUUUUCUUAAUGUGUGGAAUGGAACCACUGGGUCAGGGCAGAUCUUCUUUGACAACUUUGACAUACAUCCGCUCUCCUUAUAUGCAUGGGAAUGUUUCUGGGCUCUGUCUUUUUCCUAAACCAGUUGAUUGAGUUGCUUGUCCUUGGAUCCCAGCCACCAUGCUGUGAGGAAGCCCAGGCCACAUGGAGAGGCCACAUGCGGGUGUUGGGGCCGACAGCCAGCAUCAGCCACCAGACAUGAGAGCCAGCGGGCCUUCAGAUAAUUCCAGCCCCAGGCUUCAAGCUGCCACUGCUGAUGUCCCCACAACUGUCCCUGCUGAGCUCUGCCCAAACUGCAAAGGAUCUGCUUGAACAGAUGACAAACCCACCAUCUUCUCAGGCAGCCCUUGGAUGGCUGGUUGUGUUGAAGAAUUCCUGUGUUGCAAAGUUCCAUGUAAAGAAAGUUCCUGAGAGGCCUGCCCUUGAUGACUUAGCCUCUGGCCUCCUCUCUGGGGGAGCAAUAGAAGGGCUGUGGGCAGGAGGAGGGUCCAGUGAUACAACCAGGCCCAGAGAGCCAGCGAGCCUUGAGUAUAGCAGCACCUUCUCCAGGCCAUCCCUGCCCCUCCUGCCCAGGACCCACCUGCCCCUUUGACCGAACAGGAGGAAGAGGACACAGAAGAUGAUGCAGGUGACCCCGA